GACGAACGCUGGCGGCGUGCUUAACACAUGCAAGUCGAACGCUGAAGGCCUGGCUUUUGUUGGGUUGGAUGAGUGGCGAACGGGUGAGUAACACGUGAGUAACCUGCCCUCUUCUUUGGGAUAACGCCCGGAAACGGGUGCUAAUACUGGAUAUUCACUGAUCUUCGCAUGGGGGUUGGUGGAAAGGUUUGUUCUGGUGGGGGAUGGGCUCGCGGCCUAUCAGCUUGUUGGUGGGGUGAUGGCCUACCAAGGCUUUGACGGGUAGCCGGCCUGGGAGGGUGACCGGUCACAUUGGGACUGAGAUACGGCCCAGACUCCUACGGGAGGCAGCAGUGGGGAAUAUUGCACAAUGGGCGAAAGCCUGAUGCAGCGACGCCGCGUGAGGGAUGGAGGCCUUCGGGUUGUAAACCUCUUUCGCGCAUGGUCAAGCCGCAACUGUGGGUUGUGGUGAGGGUAGUGGGUAAAGAAGCGCCGGCUAACUACGUG
rnacentral:rRNA from 1 species